rnacentral:piRNA from 1 species
UGUAAGGAGCUAUCAUGCAAUCUUAGCCUC